CCAAUUAGUUUGCCUGUAGGUAGCUGCUGGCUAGAGACAGGUUCCACCCCUGAAGACCAACUUCCUGCCUCAGACCAGUUCUGGAAGCCUGGAAUGAAUGCGUUCUGGAAAACUCGGUAGCAUUCUGUAGCAGAGCUGCCAAGGAAGAAGGCUGACACCCCCGCCCCCCACCAACCCCGAUCUUCCAAGAAGAGCACAGGCUAUGGGGGUGGGGGGCAGAGUGGAGAGCAUGUUCCCAGCUUCCUUCCUUGCCAGUCAGCAGCUCACAUUUUAAAUACUCAAAUUACUUUUUAACAAAAAACCACAUAACCAGAGGGCUGAUUCAGGAUUUAAAUUAUUCUGGGGAACUUUUUUUUCUUUCAAAAUUGCUUUUGCAUUUAUACUUUAUGCUCCGUCCUAUACUUUAUAGACGAGAGAAAGACAAUCAUGGAAAAACACAACCAACUGUGGCAGAGACAAGUGGAAAAACCCCGAGUCUGAGAAAGAAGCCUUGGGGUGGAGGGUACAAAGCCCGCCGAGCCUCCCCAUCCGCCCGUGCAAUUAUGUGUGGAUGAAAAAUGGCAGGGGCUAAUAAUCACAGCGGCAAUUGUCCACUUGCAGAACAAUUAGCCCUUUGCUCCUUAUUAUGAGGAAGUGACUAAUUGUACCCACAGCCAGCCGAUUACUGGUGCAGUCGUUUGGAAUGAAACUUAAUGCUUGCCUUGCCCACGUAAGCGAGAGAGCCAGGGCAGAGAGAGAGCCAGGGUGCCAUCAGACCCGGGGCUUUGAAAUACCCACCUUGUAGGCUCGGACAGAACUUGAGGUAUGUGUGGAAGAGGGAAAAUGCAAAUUCUGCAGCUCUCUGGACCAGGCAUAGCCUCUAUAUGCUAAAAAAAACAGAGGGAAGUAAAAAUGGAACCCAGGUAAUGAUCACAAUUAUACUUAAUGAGCACCUUUCAUCAGAAUCAUAAAUGUCUUCCAGUUAAGACACAGCCUCUGCUGAAAUGUAAGGGGAAAAUAUUUGUAGGCUAAAGCUCACUUUUUAAGCCUAGGAAUCUGAAGGUCUUUAGGAAGCAGUGAGCAGUUACGUCUGGAAUGGGGAGAGGAGAAGGCUCACGAGCUUCUUCAGACUUCUGACUGCAGAAGUCCCGUUCCUUCCUUGCAGCUAAGAAAACUGUCACCCAAUAUUUAGUCCCGGGACGGUUGAUCUGUACGCUGGAAAUCCGUUUAGCACGCACCCUUGGAAACACAACGGCAGUUAACCCCCACCCCUGUUAAAUUAGUAAAGAUGGUUUUUAAAACUCCUGACUCUGUUUACAUCCCUGGUUUAGAAGGAGUUAAGUGAGUGAGUGCGAGUGCGAACCUCUCCUCUGUUCGUGGCCUCUUUGUACUUCCGACCAUGUUAGAGACCUCAGGGAAUCUUUCCGGUUCCCAAUCUUCUCUUCCCUUUGGAGACUUUCAGUGGCCCCUGACAUCAUGACUGAUGUCACUACGGCUUGACUCUGAAAUGUCCCCAGCAUACUUAUGUGCUCUAGAGCCGUGGUUGAGGAAGGUUGGAAACUUUGGGCCAAAAGGUCUUGGUGGAGGACUGCGGCCUCUAGGGGCAGGUCUGUUGGGUUUUAGCCUAUUCCUGCUCCUCGUGCUGUCUACAGAUAGACCUAGGCACGAAGAUCUACUGCUUCUUGUUCUUGCCACCGAGAGCAGGGACACUUAGCUACGACACUGUCUUUGCUACUUUGCCCCUGACAGUGUGAAUCAGACAAACUUCUCCCUUCUGAAGCUGAUUUUCCCUCACAGUGACGGAAAAGGAACCAAUACAAGUGUCCUAGUUAGGAGACGCCGUGGGGUUUUGCCUUCGGACAUCUUACUGAGAAUGCAUUGGAAUUGACCUGUCAAGUAAACAGAGGUAGAGAAAUAGUUCCUGCAUUCCACUGAGAAGUCUGCUUCAGAUGUUUCCUCAAAAGUCUGUAGCAGGCAUUUUUAUUGUUGUUAUUAUUAUUACUAUUGUCUAUAUCCUCCCCUUGACCCCAUGCUGCCCCCUCUAAAGGCUGACUAUGAUAAUCAUGCCAUGUUCAUGGACAUCGCAGUCGGGGUGUGGACAGGCAGAAAGCCCCUCCUCGCAGGCUCUCUGUUCUGCACAGCCUCUCAACAGACAUAGAGCCUCCCCUCUCUUCAGCUACGAAAUCCAGUGAUUACAAAUAGUUCUUUUUCAAAUAGUAGAAGCAAUUGUUUGCUUCUCCCGUGGCCAUGGCAAAAUGUCCCCACAAAAGCGACACGGGGGAGAAAGAAUUUGUUCCGGCAGGAAGUUCAAGGUACGGUUUGUUAUGGUGGGGAGGCCGUGGUGGCACGAGUCACAGCUGCUGGGGAGAACCUACCACAGACAGGAAACAGAA
rnacentral:sRNA from 1 species